GACGAACCGUGCGAACGUUGUUCGGAUUCACUGGGCUUAAAGGGCGCGUAGGCGGACAACCAAGUCAGGGGUGAAAUACUUUCGGCCCAACCGGAGAAGUGCCUUUGAUACUGGUUGUCUCGAGGGAGGUAGGGGCGUGUGGAACUUCCGGUGGAGCGGUGAAAUGCGUAGAUAUCUGGAGGAACACCGGUGGCGAAGGCGGCAUCCUGAACCAACACUGACGCUGAGGAGCGAAAGCCAGGGGAGCAAACGGG
rnacentral:rRNA from 1 species